rnacentral:rRNA from 1 species
GACGAACGCUGGCGGCGUGCUUAACACAUGCAAGUCGAACGGAAAGGCCCUGCUUUUGUGGGGUGCUCGAGUGGCGAACGGGUGAGUAACACGUGAGUAACCUGCCCUUGACUUUGGGAUAACUUCAGGAAACUGGGGCUAAUACCGGAUAGGAGCUCCUGCUGCAUGGUGGGGGUUGGAAAGUUUCGGCGGUUGGGGAUGGACUCGCGGCUUAUCAGCUUGUUGGUGGGGUAGUGGCUUACCAAGGCUUUGACGGGUAGCCGGCCUGAGAGGGUGACCGGCCACAUUGGGACUGAGAUACGGACCAGACUCCUACGGGAGGCAGCAGGGGGGAAUAUUGCACAAUGGGCGGAAGCCUGAUGAAGCAACGCCGCGUGCGGGAUGACGGCCUUCGGGUUGUAAACCGCUUUCGCCUGUGACGAAGCGUGAGUGACGGUAAUGGGUAAAGAAGCACCGGCUAACUACGUG